UACGUAGGUGGCAAGCGUUGUCCGGAUUUAUUGGGUUUAAAGCGUGCGCAGGCGGUUUCGUAAGUCUGUCGUGAAAUCCCCGGGCUCAACCUGGGAAUGGCGAUGGAGACUGCGAGGCUAGAGUUUGGCAGAGGGGGGUAGAAUUCCGCGUGUAGCAGUGAAAUGCGUAGAUAUGCGGAGGAACACCGAUGGCGAAGGCAAUCCCCUGGACCUGUACUGACGCUCAUGCACGAAAGCGUGGGAAGCAAACAGG
rnacentral:rRNA from 1 species